AUUGAACGCUGGCGGCAGGCAUAACACAUGCAAGUCGAGCGAGCGGCGGACGGGUGAGUAAUGUAUGGGGACUGCCCGAUAGAGGGGGAUAACUACUGGAAAAGGUAGCUAAUACCGCAUACUAUCGGAUAACCCAUACAGGAUUAGACAGUAGGUGAGGUAAUGGAUCACAUAGGCGACGAUCCCUAGCUGGUCUGAGGGGAUGAUCAGCCACACUGGGACUUAUACACGUCCCAGACUCCUACGGAGGCAGCAGUGGUGAAUAUUGCACAAUGGGCGAAAACCUGAUGCAGCCAUGCCGCGUGUAUGAAGAAGGCCCUAGGGUUGUAAAGUACUUUCAGUCGUGAGGCGUUACCGACAGAAGAAGCACCGGCUAACUCCGUGCCAGCAGCCGCGGUAAUAC
rnacentral:rRNA from 1 species